rnacentral:rRNA from 1 species
AUUGAACGCUGGCGGCAGGCCUAACACAUGCAAGUCGUACGAGUGGCGGACGGGUGAGUAAUGUCUGGGAAACUGCCUGAUGGAGGGGGAUAACUACUGGAAACGGUAGCUAAUACCGCAUACCAUCAGAUGUGCCCAUAUGGGAUUAGCGAGUUGGUGGGGUAACGGCUCACCCAGGCGACGAUCCCUAGCUGGUCUGAGAGGAUGACCGGCUCCACGGGAACGGAGACACGGUCCAAACUCUUACGGGAGGCAGCAGUGGGGAAUAUUGGACAAUGGGCGCAAGCCUGAUGCAGCCAUGCGGCGUGUAUGAAGAAGGCCUUCGGGUUGUAAAGUACUUUCAGCGGAGAGGCGUUACCAACAGAAGAAGCACCGGCUAACUCCGUGCCAGCAGCCGCGGUAAUAC